GUCAAAAACAUUCAUUGCAUCCCCUGGUGGAAGUGCCUAGAAAAACAAGCAACAAACAAAGAAACAAAACAUUUGUUGUCAUUGCCACGGAAACCUUUUAUUAUCACCCUGUAAGUUUCACAUGUGGAUGGGGCAUAGCUUUCAUCAACUCAUUUCAGCAGCCUAAUAGUUCUGAUGGGCUCUACAUAGUUCUUGUUGAAGCAGAAGUUGCAGCUGAAAUCCAGAAAAUCAAGAUUCUUCUUCUGCAGAGACUGAUCCCCACCAUUGCCCUGCCCUGACCUCGAGGGAAGGAGGCUUGAGAAUGAGCUGUUUUUCCCAGCAAGCGUCCCAUUGUGGAAGGAGCGGUGACACACAUUGGUGGCUGAUGGUAUCACAGCUGACACACCCCCUCCCUUCUGCUGUGGAAAGAGAGCUAAUCUGUUCUGGGAUGACAAUGAAUCAGAGGAGAGAUUCUGAAAAGGACACCCGAGGAUCUCAGCUCCCUACAUGGCCCUUGCAAAGUCAGGAGGGGCCUCCUUUGCUGGAAAAUUACCUUGCUUGCCCUUUUGAGGGAACUGGGGCUGCCUAGAAACUGUACGGCCUAGUCAUUGCAAGGAAACAGGGUCAAAAGGGCAAAAUGGAUGGGAAACUGGGCACCCCAGAGAGCGUCCAUGGAGAAGCGCUGCUAGUGUUCCCCAGUGGGCAGCUAUAAUAAUAGAGGGAUAAAGCAUUUGUGCAUUAGCAGGAUAUUUUUUCAUAACAGAAGUUGCUUUCUUUCUUUUAUUUUAUUACUAUUUUUUGAGUCAUGGUCUUGCUCUGUUGACCAGGCUGGAGUACAAUGGCGUGAUCUUGGCUCACUGCAGCCUCAACCUCUCAGGCUGAAGCGAUCCUCCCACCUCAGCCUCCCAGGUAGCUGGGACUACAGGUUCAUGCCACCAUGCCCGGUGAAUUUUUGUAUUUUUUUGUAGAGGUGGGGUUUCACCAUGUCGCCUGGGCUGGUCUCAGACUUCUGGGCUCAAGCCAUCCUCCCUCCUCGGCCUCCCAAAGUGCUGGCACUAUGGGUAUGAGCCACAGUGUCCAGCCUUCCUUAUUUCAUAAGAAGAGUGUGUAUACAGGCAUGGCUGUUGAUUCACGUUGCCAUUGAAAGACAUCUACUGCUCUAGCCAGAGGAAUCCCUACUGACUCCAGGAGGUCCACAGUCAUCAUCCCUGUAGAAGGACAGGUAUUGUAUCCAAACUAGCCUAGUUCCUCAAACUCCCAAGUUCUGAAGUUUUAUGAACUGAUUACUAGAAAGAGGAGGCAGAGAUUGUUCUGCUGAAAUUGGCGGAUAAAUUGCAGAAAACUCAGGGAUGGAGAAAACUAAAAUAACGAAAAUCAAUAGUGCAUCUGAUGUGAUCUUACAGUUUAAUCUGAGCAGUUCUUAGCAUAUAUAAUUUGUGAGAAAAUUCAUUAUGUGGGGAUGCAGCAAGUACAUUCCAUAUCAAUGCACAAAUGCUCUGUUAAUAAAUGCUAUCACCCCA